UACGAGGGGGGCUAGCGUUGUUCGGAAUCACUGGGCGUAAAGCGCACGUAGGCGGCUUUUUAAGUCAGGGGUGAAAUGCCAAGGCUCAACCUUGGAACUGCCUUUGAUACUGGGAAGCUAGAGUGUGGUAGAGGUUGGUGGAACUCCGAGUGUAGAGGUGAAAGUCGUAGAUAUUCGGAAGAACACCAGUGGCGAAGGCGGCCAACUGGACCAUUACUGACGCUGAGGUGCGAAAGCGUGGGGAGCAAACAGG
rnacentral:rRNA from 1 species